rnacentral:snRNA from 1 species
UAUCUAAAUAAGGGUAAAAUGGU